UGCCGGAUCGUCUAAUGGUAGGACGACGGAUUCUGGAUCCGUCUAUCUAGGUUCGAGUCCUAGUCCGGCAGCAA
rnacentral:tRNA from 2 species